CCCUUAGAUGUUCUGGGCCGCACGCGCGCUACAAUGAUGGAUUCAACGAGUUUAUAACCUUGGUUGAAAAGCCUGGGUAAUCUUUUGAACUUUCGUCGUGAUGGGGCUAGACCCUUGCAAUUAUUGGUCUCCAACGAGGAAUUCCUAGUAAACGCAAGUCAUCAGCUUGCAUUGAUUACGUCCCUGCCCUUUGUACACACCGCCCGUCGCACCUACCGAUUGAAUGGUCCGGUGAAAUCUUCGGAUUGAGACUUUGUUUUCUUCACGGAAAACGCUGUUUUAAAAAGUUGAUUAAACCUUACCAUUUAGAGGAAGGUGAAGUCGUAACA
rnacentral:rRNA from 1 species